rnacentral:lncRNA from 1 species
CAAGAUAAAAACAAGAAGUCUAGUCGUAUGCAAACUGGUCUGAUCGGUUCCCAGACUGGUCUGACCGGUGUCUCUAGUGAGCUUGGAGAUACCUCCAAAUCCAAGAAUAAAGCAAGGCCAAGCUUUGAGGGACUCUUGGCCAAGUAUAAGAAGAAAGUCGCUGCUCAGAAGCGAAUGAGUCGGCCAAAUAAUACUAGAGAUGCAAAAUCACCGCCAAGAUAUGAAAGACAACAAGGUAUGCACCAAUAAAAGGGUAAUUUUGCUACUGCACAAUAUUCUUU